rnacentral:rRNA from 1 species
GACGAACGCUGGCGGCGUGCCUAACACAUGCAAGUUGAGCGACGAACCAGGGCUUGCCCUGGGGCAAAGCAGCGAACGGGUGAGUAACACGUGGGUAACCUACCCCGAUAACCGGGACAACCCGAGGAAACUCGGGCUAAUACCGGAUGUGCUCACUGGACUUCGGUUCAGUGCGUAAAGGAAGCUUCGGCCUCCGUAUCGGGAGGGGCCCGCGGCGCAUUAGUUUGUUGGUGAGGUAACGGCUCACCAAGACCGCGAUGGGUAGCUGGUCUGAGAGGACGAUCAGCCACACUGGGACUGAGACACGGCCCAGACUCCUACGGGAGGCAGCAGUGGGGAAUCUUGCGCAAAGCGCGAAAGCGUGACGCAGCAACGCCGCGUGGGGGAAGAAGGCCUUCGGGUUGUAAACCCCUUUCAGGAGGGACGAAGGUUCGGCGGUGAAUAGCCGUCCGGACUGACGGUACCUCCACAAGAAGCCCCGGCUAACUACGUG